GAGCCUGUGAUGAUUAGAUACAUGUUGGAAUUACCGUCAGAUUUACAAAUGACGAUAAUUUGUCUGGCUUACUGAGGCUUCUU
rfam:Oryza brachyantha chromosome 2, whole genome shotgun sequence.